AUUGAACGCUGGCGGCAUGCCUUACACAUGCAAGUCGAACGGCAGCAUGGAGAGCUUGCUCUCUGAUGGCGAGUGGCGAACGGGUGAGUAAAGCAUCGGAACGUACCGUGUAGUGGGGGAUAACGUAGCGAAAGUUACGCUAAUACCGCAUACGCACUGAGGUGGAAAGCAGGGGAUCGCAAGACCUUGCGCUAUACGAGCGGCCGAUGUCAGAUUAGCUAGUUGGUAGGGUAAAGGCCUACCAAGGCGACGAUCUGUAGCGGGUCUGAGAGGAUGAUCCGCCACACUGGGACUGAGACACGGCCCAGACUCCUACGGGAGGCAGCAGUGGGGAAUUUUGGACAAUGGGGGCAACCCUGAUCCAGCCAUGCCGCGUGAGUGAAGAAGGCCUUCGGGUUGUAAAGCUCCUUCGGCCGGGAAGAAAUCGCACAGGCUAAUACUCUGUGUGGAUGACGGUACCGGCAUAAGAAGCACCGGCUAACUACGUGCCAGCCGCCGCGGUAA
rnacentral:rRNA from 1 species